AUCGGAGUCGGAAAAGUCGUCGUCGUCGUGUUUUUCCUGUGACGACGCUACGAUACCUGCGUUUAUGAUACUUUUAUUAUUUCAUCGUCCUACGAUAUUUUGAUAUAAUUAUUCAGAUCCAGUAGAGUGAAUUAAGCUAAUCGGUCUCGGACGACGAAGAAGACGAGAGUCACCGAAUAAACGUACGAACAGAGGGAAAUUUUACUUGGAAGUGGCCUUACAUGUCAUGAAUUAUUAAUCCCACUCGGCUAAGGAGACAGACUGGGGAGACGACCGUUUUUCUCUCGCAGGAAGCGCUGGGAGAAGAGAGCGAUUCGAAUCGUUGUCUUUGAGACCGUGAAGGUCUUGCUUGUAAGUCGAUGGGGCACCUGCUUGCUUGUUUUCAUAUGACUUCCCGAAGAAAAGUCAACGGCGACGAUUAAGAUGACGACAACAACGGCGUGAGGAAGAUGGCAAUCGAACCAGAACCACUUGUCGUUCGGUUCCCUGCCUAGUAUUUAGGCAUCUCAAGGAUAUGGAAUGGUAGGAAUUUCACCCGAUUAGCAUAAAGGCUUAACCGAAAGUUGAGCUUCAACGGCUAAACGGUGGGAACUUUUUGAGACUUACAGAGAAAAAAAGAAGCAGAGAAAACCGUUGGUGUGCUCAAACAAGAGAGUGACCAGGAGGGGUCUCAAAAGUAAUCCAUACGGUACUCUAAACCGGGAGUUCGGGGGCAAUCAUCGAGUUGGCCAUGGAUGGGCCAGGCCGCCCCAAUCAAUGGGAUGUCGAUUGGUUCGUCAUCUUCCAUUGGGUUUUGAGAGAUUCAACACCUGACGGAAAAAUCAGCGCCUACU